GCGGAGGAAAAGAAACCAACAGGGAUUGCCUCAGUAGCGGCGAGUGAAGCGGCAAGAGCUCAGAUUUGAAAUCGUGCUUUGCGGCACGAGUUGUAGAUUGCAGGUUGGAGUCUGUGUGGAAGGCGGUGUCCAAGUCCCUUGGAACAGGGCGCCCAGGAGGGUGAGAGCCCCGUGGGAUGCCGGCGGAAGCAGUGAGGCCCUUCUGACGAGUCGAGUUGUUUGGGAAUGCAGCUCCAAGCGGGUGGUAAAUUCCAUCUAAGGCUAAAUACUGGCGAGAGACCGAUAGCGAACAAGUACUGUGAAGGAAAGAUGAAAAGCACUUUGAAAAGAGAGUGAAACAGCACGUGAAAUUGUUGAAAGGGAAGGGUAUUGCGCCCGACAUGGGGAUUGCGCACCGCUGCCUCUCGUGGGCGGCGCUCUGGGCUUUCCCUGGGCCAGCAUCGGUUCUUGCUGCAGGAGAAGGGGUUCUGGAACGUGGCUCUUCGGAGUGUUAUAGCCAGGGCCAGAUGCUGCGUGCGGGGACCGAGGACUGCGGCCGUGUAGGUCACGG
rnacentral:rRNA from 1 species